UCAGUUCUAAAUCUGAAUUUCUUAUGUGUUAUUAGACAGUAUGCUAUGUAGCUCAUACAUGCUUGUAUAGACAGCUCUAUAGUUGUUUACUAAUACAUUGAUCAGAUAUAAUUAUUGACAUGACAUUGAUAAAAAAAUUUAUGAUGUAAUGUAUUGAUCGCAGCCACUGCACAUGGAUGCGAUCCAUGUGCUUAAUGUUUUUAUAUUGUAUGUGUAUAUUCAUAUACAGUACAACUUUGUUGUGUUUUUUUGUAUUAUUUUAGCUUUCACAAGUGGUGUGUUGUCAGUUGUCAUGGGAACCGUCGUUUUUUCCUGGCCGAUCUGCAUAGUGACCAGGAAAUGGAAAUGGGACGGAGAAUGCUGGCAUUGGUGAUGGGAGCACUUAAAAGCUGUAUCCAUGGUGAUGGGGUGCACCGCGUCACUGCACCGGCGACUGGCUGCUGUGAGUGACGUCAUUGGUGUCUGAUGCCUGCCGGGUGUGUGGUCUCGGAUGCGGUAUGGGCAUUACACGUGGUGUUGUAAGAUAUAUAAGGUUCCAGUUCCUGUCUCCAAGCUUCCACUAAAGAGAUCCGCACCUGCCUACCAUCCUGCGGUGCAGCCUGACUCUCCAAUCCUCUGGGACUCAUCUGUUUCCAGCUACAGAUUCACCUGCUUCCAGCAGAGAUCAGCUCUUCUUAAAGUGCCGGUACCAUUUCUGCAGAUUUCCAUUUACCACCGGUACUAAUAUUUCAUUUAGAAUACUGUAUUCAGUUCUGGAGGCCAUAUCUUCAAAAGGAUAUUAAUACAUCAGAAACUGUACAAAGGAGGGCAACUAAAAUGGUGCAUGGCCUACAUCACAAAACAUACCCAGAAAGACUAAGAAAUCUCAAUAUGUAUAGUUUGGAGCAGAGAAGGGAAAGGGGGGACAUGAUAGAAACUUUCAAAUAUAUCAAGGGUUUUAAGUCCAGGAGGGAAACAUUCUCCAAAUGAAGAGAAGCAAUAGGACACGAGGACAUACACUGAGACUGGAGGGGGGGAGGUUCAGGGGAAAUUUGCGGGAAAAUUAUUUCACAGAAAGGGUAGUGGACAAGUGGAAUAGCCUCCCAUCAGAGGUGGUAGAGGCUAAAACAGUAGAGCAAUUUAAACAUGCAUGGGAUAGACAUAAGGAUAUCCUUACAAAGAAAUAAGGAUCAAAUAAGGUUAGAAAUAAAAAUAAUAUAAAAAAAAAAAGGGGGCAGACUAGAUGGGCCAAGUGGUUCUUAUCUGCCGACAAAUUCUAUGUUUCUAUGUUUCUAUCGCUCUCAAGCUCCAUAUAUCAUUCAUAUUUCAUCGCUCUCAAGCUUCAUUUAUUAUUUGGCUGGUUCCAUCCAGUAAUCCACUCCGUGUCUACAUCUGUCUGGUUCCAACCAGUGAAGUACUGAAAGGAAAAGGAUUGUCUCUUUGUUGGCGCACUUUCAAUAGAAGAGUGUGUGUAUUUAAAAUAUAACUUUUAAUUCCAUAUGAUUAAAAAUGCCUGAGAACGUGAAAAAU